GCGGAUGUGGCGGAAUUGGCAGACGCACCAGAUUUAGGCUCUGGCGAAGAGAUUCGUGGGGGUUCAAGUCCCUUCAUCCGCA
rnacentral:tRNA from 6 species